GUAUGCAGUGUGUGUGUGUGUGUAUGUAUGCAAUGUGUGUGUGUAUGUAUGCAGUGUGUGUGUAUGUGUAUGUAUGCAGUGUGUGUGUGUGUAUGUAUGUAUGUAUGCAGUGUGUGUGUGUGUAUGUAUGUAUGUAUGUAUGCAGGGUGUGUGUGAGUGUAUGUCCAUGUGUGAGAGUGUGUAUGUCCGUGUGAGUAUGUGUGUGAGUGUGUAUGCAGUUUGUG
rnacentral:lncRNA from 1 species